GCAGAUUAAGGAGGGUAGAGUGACAUGGUUAAGAGAAUGUGGUUUUUUAGAUGGGAGAUCAGAGAAGACCUCUCUGGUAAGGAGACAUUUGAGUCAAAAUCUGAAGAAGGAGGGAGUGAGUCAUCUGAGUCUGUGAAGAAUUUUCUAAGCAAGGCGAGCAGCAAGCACGAAGGCUCUCAGGAAGGAGUGUGCUUGGUGAGUUCUAAGAACAAGCAGGCCAGUGUAGCUGGAAAGUAGUGAGCAGGAGACUGUGGGCAGGAGAGGACAUGAGAGAGGUGACAGAGUGGAUCACUGAGGACCCUGCAAGUGGUGUUGACGUGGGAUUUCACCAUAUUGGCCAGGCUGGUCUCGAACUCCUGACCUCGUGAUCCACUGGCUUCUGCCUCCCAAAGUGCUGGGAUUACAGGUGUGAGCCACCACACUGGCUUACCAAGGCAGACAAGUUCAUCUUCAAGAAAACUAAGAGAUCUCUUCCCCUGACAAAAAACAACUCCAUGUUUGAUGGGACUCAGACCUGGGCUCUUCUGUCACCUCUAGGUAGGGAGGUCUUGGAGAGCAAGUGAGACCAGAGUGUUCAUGGAAAGUCACCAUCCACAGACAUUGGAAAAAUAGUCAUUCCCAAUUUCUGCUAUGUGAUCCCGUUUAGGAGUCACCCUACCAAGUGGGUAUGAUGAUGAAGGUGAGCUGCUAAGAAAGAGGUUGAGAGACAGCUGAUGUUUGUUUCAAGCAAAUCUUCUUUAACCCGAGGCACCAGGAGCAGAGGGCCAGUGGGUAAAAAGGUUAAGUAGGAUGGAAUCUACAAUAAAGCCAAAUGUGUGGGUUCUAUUGCUGAUCUUGUCGUUAUUUUGGAUUUUUGGAGUGGAG
rnacentral:lncRNA from 10 species